AAAUAAGAAGCAAAUUGCAUUUAAUUUCGACUUAAAAGAUUGGGUAAAAUUACCCCUUAUUUA
rnacentral:tRNA from 1 species